AGGAGCCGUAUGAAACCGAGGUAUCAUGUACGGUUCUGGAAUAGAGAUGAUAACAGUGAUGUUAUCAUCGACUAUGAU
rfam:Amborella trichopoda AMTR_V1.0_contig_24859, whole genome shotgun sequence.